rnacentral:rRNA from 1 species
GUCCACGCUGUAAACGAUGUCAACUAGCUGCUUGUGUCUUCGUGACGUGGGUAGCGCAGCUAACGCACUAAGUUGACCGCCUGGGGAGUACGGCCGCAAGGUUAAAACUCAAAUGAAUUGACGGGGGCCCCGCACAAGCGGUGGAGCAUGUGGUUUAAUUCGACGCAACGCGAAGAACCUUACCAGGUCUUGACAUCCAGUGAACUUUCCAGAGAUGGAUUGGUGCCUUCGGGAACACUGAGACAGGUGCUGCAUGGCUGUCGU